AAAUUGAAGAGUUUGAUCAUGGCUCAGAUUGAACGCUGGCGGCAGGCCUAACACAUGCAAGUCGAGCGGUAGCACAGAGAGCUUGCUCUCGGGUGACGAGCGGCGGACGGGUGAGUAAUGUCUGGGAAACUGCCUGAUGGAGGGGGAUAACUACUGGAAACGGUAGCUAAUACCGCAUAAUGUCGCAAGACCAAAGUGGGGGACCUUCGGGCCUCAUGCCAUCAGAUGUGCCCAGAUGGGAUUAGCUAGUAGGUGGGGUAACGGCUCACCUAGGCGACGAUCCCUAGCUGGUCUGAGAGGAUGACCAGCCACACUGGAACUGAGACACGGUCCAGAAUCCUCCGGGGGGCAGCAGUGGGGAAUAUUGCACAAUGGGCGCAAGCCUGAUGCAGCCAUGCCGCGUGUGUGAAGAAGGCCUUCGGGUUGUAAAGCACUUUCAGCGGGGAGGAAGGCGUUAAGGUUAAUAACCUUGGCGAUUGACGUUACCCGCAGAAGAAGCACCGGCUAACUCCGUGCCAGCAGCCGCGGUAAUACGGAGGGUGCAAGCGUUAAUCGGAAUUACUGGGCGUAAAGCGCACGCAGGCGGUCUGUCAAGUCGGAUGUGAAAUCCCCGGGCUCAACCUGGGAACUGCAUUCGAAACUGGCAGGCUAGAGUCUUGUAGAGGGGGGUAGAAUUCCAGGUGUAGCGGUGAAAUGCGUAGAGAUCUGGAGGAAUACCGGUGGCGAAGGCGGCCCCCUGGACAAAGACUGACGCUCAGGUGCGAAAGCGUGGGGAGCAAACAGGAUUAGAUACCCUGGUAGUCCACGCCGUAAACGAUGUCGAUUUGGAGGUUGUGCCCUUGAGGCGUGGCUUCCGGAGCUAACGCGUUAAAUCGACCGCCUGGGGAGUACGGCCGCAAGGUUAAAACUCAAAUGAAUUGACGGGGGCCCGCACAAGCGGUGGAGCAUGUGGUUUAAUUCGAUGCAACGCGAAGAACCUUACCUGGUCUUGACAUCCACAGAACUUUCCAGAGAUGGAUUGGUGCCUUCGGGAACUGUGAGACAGGUGCUGCAUGGCUGUCGUCAGCUCGUGUUGUGAAAUGUUGGGUUAAGUCCCGCAACGAGCGCAACCCUUAUCCUUUGUUGCCAGCGGUUCGGCCGGGAACUCAAAGGAGACUGCCAGUGAUAAACUGGAGGAAGGUGGGGAUGACGUCAAGUCAUCAUGGCCCUUACGACCAGGGCUACACACGUGCUACAAUGGCAUAUACAAAGAGAAGCGACCUCGCGAGAGCAAGCGGACCUCAUAAAGUAUGUCGUAGUCCGGAUUGGAGUCUGCAACUCGACUCCAUGAAGUCGGAAUCGCUAGUAAUCGUAGAUCAGAAUGCUACGGUGAAUACGUUCCCGGGCCUUGUACACACCGCCCGUCACACCAUGGGAGUGGGUUGCAAAAGAAGUAGGUAGCUUAACCUUCGGGAGGGCGCUUACCACUUUGUGAUUCAUGACUGGGGUGAAGUCGUAACAAGGUAACCGUAGGGGAACCUGCGGUUGGAUCACCUCCUUACCUUAAAGAA
rnacentral:rRNA from 1 species